CCUACGUGGGACAGCAGUCGAGAAUCAUUCACAAUGGGGGAAACCCUGAUGGUGCGACGCCGCGUGGGGGAAUGAAGGUCUUCGGAUUGUAAACCCCUGUCAUGUGGGAGCAAAUUAAAAAGAUAGUACCACAAGAGGAAGAGACGGCUAACUCUGUGCCAGCAGCCGCGGUAAUACAGAGGUCUCAAGCGGUGUUCGGAAUCACUGGGCGUAAGGCGUGCGUAGGCUGUUUCGUAAGUCGUGUGUGAAAGGCGCGGGCUCAACCCGCGGACGGCACAGGAGAAUGGGAGACUAGAGUAAUGGAGGGGGAACCGGAAUUCUAGGUGGAGCAGUGAAAUGCGUAGAUAUCGAGAGGAACACUCGUGGCGAAGGCGGGUGCCUGGACAUUAACUGACGCUGAGGCACGAAGGCCAGGGGAGCGAAAGGGAUUAGAUACCCGAGUAGUC
rnacentral:rRNA from 1 species